rnacentral:rRNA from 1 species
GAUGAACGCUGGCGGCGUGCCUAAUACAUGCAAGUCGAGCGAACAGACGAGGAGCUUGCUCCUCUGACGUUAGCGGCGGACGGGUGAGUAACACGUGGAUAACCUACCUAUAAGACUGGGAUAACUUCGGGAAACCGGAGCUAAUACCGGAUAACAUGUUGAACCGCGUGGUUCAACAGUGAAAGACGGUCUUGCUGUCACUUAUAGAUGGAUCCGCGCCGCAUUAGCUAGUUGGUAAGGUAACGGCUUACCAAGGCAACGAUGCGUAGCCGACCGGAGAGGGUGAUCGGCCACACUAGAACUGAGACACGGUCCAGACUCCGACGGGAGGCAGCAGUAGGGAAUCUUACGCAAUGGGCGAAAGCCUGACGGAGCAACGCCGCGUGAGUGAAGAAGGUCUUAGGAUCGUAAAACUCUGUUAUUAGGGAAGAACAAAUGUGUAAGUAACUAUGCACGUCUUGACGGUACCUAAUCAGAAAGCCACGGCUAACUACGUG